rnacentral:rRNA from 1 species
GGACUACUGGGGUUUCUAAUCCUGUUCGCUCCCCACGCUUUCGUGCCUCAGCGUCAGUAUCAAGCCAGGUAGCUGCCUUCGCCAUUGACGUUCCUUCCGAUAUCUACGCAUUUCACCGCUACACCGGAAAUUCCGCUACCCUCUCUUGUACUCCAGUUGAGCAGUUAGCCAUGCACUUCCCAGGUUAAGCCCGGGGCUUUCACAUAACUCACACUCUACCGCCUACGCACCCUUUACGCCCAGUUAAUCCGAUUAACGCUCGCACCCUCUGUAUUACCGCGGCUGCUGGCAC